rnacentral:sRNA from 1 species
AAAACCCAUCCCCUUCCUUCCAUUCCCUCCCCGCCUCCUGAGCGCGGAUUCGCGGAUCCCUGCCCCGCUCCUGCGCUCGCGCAAGUAUCUUCGUCAACUCUUGCUUUGCGGCCUCUAGCUGAGCCUCCAGAAGUGCUCCCUUCCCCAACUCAGGCUGCUCCAUGUCCUCGAUCUCCUUGCGCGACUUGCCCUCUCUUUCCGCAUCCGCAACCGCACCCGCCAGCCUGCGCCAUUUCUCUAGGUCCUUCUUCAAGCCUUCCUCACGUCUCAGGAGGCCGAGAUACUCAUCUACCCCUUCGGCGCCGCCGAAACAUAACCCGUACCCGUCACAGUAACACGCAUGCUUCGCGGGGCAGAAGACCGUCUGGCCCGCGAACAGCACCUGCCAGAGAUACUCCCACACGCGGCCAGAGAUCGAGUCGCUCAGCUCCGUGCGCA